rnacentral:lncRNA from 1 species
AUUUCCAGUCUGACUCUGUAGUAACAUUUUGUUUUGUUUUGUUUUGUUUUUCAGUUCUUUUUUUCCUUUAUACAUUGGUCAGCAGAAACAACACACCCUAUUAGGACAAGGACCUCUGUUGGCUUGUUAUUGCCCUAUCUUUCUGGAGAGGGAGGGAUACGGAUGGUCAUCUUCUGGAGACAUCCCACAGACACACCUAGUGAAAACACAUACCAAGAUAAUGCCUCUGAAUAUUCCUACUCUACCCCAGUCAUAUGAUAUUCAGGUGAGGCCUGUUUGUGUCUAGGGA